UACGUAGGGGGCUAGCGUUGUCCGGAAUCAUUGGGCGUAAAGAGCGUGUAGGCGGUCCGGUAAGUCCGCUGUGAAAGUCGGGGGCUCAACCCUCGAAUGCCGGUGGAUACUGUCGGGCUAGAGUGUGGUAGGGGAGACUGGAAUUCCUGGUGUAGCGGUGAAAUGCGCAGAUAUCAGGAGGAACACCGAUGGCGAAGGCAGGUCUCUGGGCCACUACUGACGCUGAGAAGCGAAAGCAUGGGGAGCGAACAGG
rnacentral:rRNA from 1 species